AAAGAGAGGAGGAUGGCAUUGGCGUUUCUCUACAAGUAGGAACCAAUGGUUGUGCCUGAGUCUUAUCACCUCUCAACUAGUUGAAGUUGAACAAGGCGGCGGCUGCUAAGAAGAAGGGAGCAUCUGUGGAACAGAAGACUGCAGCCAAGGCAGCACUGGUCCACACCUGCCCUGUCUGUCGGCCACAGUUUGUUACCUUCCUGCACUUUGAGAGCAAGCAUCCCAAGUCUCCAAUGGUCCCAGUACUGGUUGAUGUGCACACACAAUCAUAGACCUAUAACUGGGACACACGAUAACCACGGUUUGAAUGCUGCAACGGAGACUGAAUGACGUUGAGGGACACGCUAUGAACCCGAGUAUGAUUGGACAUGGGCCAGAUAUGUGACAAUUACCUAAAAGGGGUGCAGAAGCACACUAGCACCCCAUUUUAUGUUUAUUCCAUGGCCAACCAUGCCUCCUAGCUAAUACAGUUGAAGUCAGAAGUUUACAUACACCUUAGCCAAAUACAUUUAAACUCAGUUUU